UUCAUAUAGUUCUGUGAACAUUCUUGUACAUUUCUUUUGGUGUCUGCCAUCUUGAAUGAAAAAUUUUAAAAUAAUUUCUAAUCUAAUCAAGAAUGUGACUUGAAGAACUUUUAUGUCUAGCUGGAUGAUUCUAAAUGCACCGAUCAGCACUCUGGGUCUAGCUCAGGGUUUAAGGAUGCAAAAAUUUGUAUGUAAAUACUAUGAAGUUCCUAGAUAUCCUUUUGGGAAAUAAACAUAGUAUAACUCAAUCAAUAAAUAAUGGGGAUUAGAUUUUCUUAUUCCCACUUUAUAAAUGGGAAAACGAAACACCUUAAAUGACAUGUUCAGACUUAUAACCGAGGAGCAACAAAAAUUAGCCUAGAGCUACCCAAGCCUGAUGCAUUGCAUAUUGUGCUAUACCAUGCUACCCUCUAGUAAGUAUUUUCCAUCAUUUUUACGUAGAGCAGUAUUUAUAACAAAGUUCUUAAAAAUA
rnacentral:lncRNA from 1 species